CCUACGGGUGGCAGCAGUGGGGGAUAUUGCACAAUGGGGGAAACCCUGAUGCAGCGACGCCGCGUGAGUGAAGAAGUAUUUCGGUAUGUAAAGCUCUAUCAGCAGGGAAGAAAAUGACAGUACCUGACCAAGAAGCCCCGGCUAACUACGUGCCAGCAGCCGCGGUAAUACGUAGGGGGCAAGCGUUAUCCGGAUUUACUGGGUGUAAAGGGGGCGUAGACGGGUAUGUAAGUCUGGGGUGAAAGCCCGUGGCCCAACCCCGGGACUGCUUUGGAAACUGUGUAACUGGAGUGCAGGAGGGGCAGGCGGAAUUCCUGGUGUAGCGGUGAAAUGCGUAGAUAUCAGGAGGAACACCGGCGGCGAAGGCGGCCUGCUGGACUGAAACUGACGUUGAGGCUCGAAAGCGUGGGGAGCAAACAGGAUUAGAUACCCUAGUAGUC
rnacentral:rRNA from 1 species